rnacentral:lncRNA from 1 species
CAUCCCAGACUAAGAAACUAUAGUAUCUAUCUGGUUGAUGCGAUACUCUAUUGGAUUUCCUUAAUAGUACCUCUAUAAUAAGUUCCAAAUUUGAUAUCAUCAAAUCGAUUCUGUGGGUUCACCAGACUGUGUCGGUUCUACCUGUUAAACUUCCUCAAGUUCAACCCUAGAGGCAUUAUCCAAGAAAUUUUUUUUCUAAAAAGACUACUCUAAGGCUGACAAACACUUUUUGUUCAUCAGUAAGGUAGAAAUAAUACCCCUUAGUUUCUUUAGGAUAUC